UACGUAGGUGGCAAGCGUUGUCCGGAAUUAUUGGGCGUAAAGCGCGCGCAGGCGGUCCUUUAAGUCUGAUGUGAAAGCCCACGGCUCAACCGUGGAGGGUCAUUGGAAACUGGAGGACUUGAGUACAGAAGAGGAAAGCGGAAUUCCACGUGUAGCGGUGAAAUGCGUAGAGAUGUGGAGGAACACCAGUGGCGAAGGCGGUUUUCUGGUCUGUAACUGACGCUGAGGCGCGAAAGCGUGGGGAGCAAACAGG
rnacentral:rRNA from 1 species